GAUGAACGCUGACAGAAUGCUUAACACAUGCAAGUCUUUGGCGAAUCUGUGCUUGCACAGGCUAGCCAAGGCGGACGGGUGAGUAACGCGUAAAGAACUUGCCCUGCAGACAGGGAUAACAGACGGAAACGACUGAUAACACCUGAUACAGUUGCCGGCACGCAUGUGCCUGGCAAUGAAAAGAGAUGCUGCAGGAGAGCUUUGCGUCCUAUUAGCUUGUUGGUGAGGUGACGGCUCACCAAGGCGAUGAUAGGUAGCCGGCCUGAGAGGGUGAACGGCCACAAGGGGACUGAGAUACGGCCCUUACUCCUACGGGAGGCAGCAGUGGGGAAUAUUGGACAAUGGUGGCAACCCUGAUCCAGCAAUUCUGUGUGCACGAAGAAGGUUUUCGGAGUGUAAAGUGCUUUCAGCAGGGAAGAAGAAAGUGACGGUACCUGCAGAAGAAGCGACGGCUAAAUACGUG
rnacentral:rRNA from 1 species